rnacentral:rRNA from 1 species
UACAGGAUUCCCCUAGUAACUGCGAGUGAAGCGGGAAAAGCUCAAAUUUAAAAUCUGGCGGUUCUGCCGUCCGAGUUGUAAUCUGGAGAAGCGUUUUCUGUGCUGGACCGUGUACAAGUCUCUUGGAACAGAGCGUCAUAGAGGGUGAGAAUCCCGUCCAUGACACGGACGCCCAGUGCUAUGUGAUACGUUUUCAAAGAGUCGAGUUGUUUGGGAAUGCAGCUCAAAAUGGGUGGUAAGCUCCAUCUAAAGCUAAAUAUUGGCGAGAGACCGAUAGCGAACAAGUACCGUGAGGGAAAGAUGAAAAGCACUUUGGAAAGAGAGUUAAACAGUACGUGAAAUUGUUGAAAGGGAAACGCUUGAAGUUAGUCGCGUCUUACUUGACUCAGCCUUGCCUCGGCUUGGUGUAUUUCAUGUGAGACGGGUCAACAUCGAUUUUGACCGGCAGAGAAGGGGGGCGAGAAUGUGGCAUUCUUCGGAGUGUGUUAUAGCUUACUCUCAUAUGUGUCGGUUGGGAUCGAGGCCCGCAGCGCGCCCUUGUGGCCGGAGGUUCGCCUCACGUUACGCGCUUAGGAUGUUGGCAUAAUGGCUUUAAGCGACCCGUCUUGAAACACGGACCAAGGAGUCUAACAUGCUCGCGAGUGUUAGGGUGGAAAACCCUUGCGCAGAAUGAAAGUAAAAGUUGGGAACCUCCGCAAGGGGGCGCACCGACGCCCGGCCCAGAAGUUUACGGACGGUGCUGCGGUAGAGCGCGUAUGUUGGGACCCGAAAGAUGGUGAACUAUGCCUGAAUAGGGCGAAGCCAGGGGAAACCCUGUGUGGAGGCUCGUAGCGAUUCUGACGUGCAAAUCGAUCGUCAAAUUUGGG